rnacentral:tRNA from 1 species
CCGACCUUAGCUCAGUUGGUAGAGCGGAGGACUGUAGUGCGUCGCAGGUUAAUCCUUAGGUCGCUGGUUCGAAUCCGGCAGGUCGGA